UACAGAGGGGGCAAGCGUUGUUCGGAAUUACUGGGCGUAAAGGGCGCGUAGGCGGCCUUCUAAGUCGAACGUGAAAUCCCCGGGCUCAACCCGGGAACUGCGUCCGAUACUGGAAGGCUUGAAUCCGGGAGAGGGAUGCGGAAUUCCAGGUGUAGCGGUGAAAUGCGUAGAUAUCUGGAGGAACACCGGUGGCGAAGGCGGCAUCCUGGACCGGUACUGACGCUGAGGUGCGAAAGCGUGGGGAGCAAACAGG
rnacentral:rRNA from 1 species